rnacentral:rRNA from 1 species
UAAGCACCGGCUAAUUCCGUGCCAGCAGCCGCGGUAAUACGGAAGGUGCAAGCGUUAAUCGGAAUUACUGGGCGUAAAGCGCGCGUAGGUGGUUUGUUAAGUUGGAUGUGAAAGCCCUGGGCUCAACCUAGGAACUGCAUCCAAAACUAACUCACUAGAGUACGAUAGAGGGAGGUAGAAUUCAUAGUGUAGCGGUGGAAUGCGUAGAUAUUAUGAAGAAUACCAGUGGCGAAGGCGGCCUCCUGGAUCUGUACUGACACUGAGGUGCGAAAGCGUGGGUAGCGAACAGGGUUAGAUACCCUGGUAGUCCACGCCGUAAACGAUGACAACUAGCUGUUGUAAGACAAUGUCUUUCAGUGGCGCAGCUAACGCUUUAAGUUGUCCGCCUGGGGAGUACGGCCGCAAGGCUAAAACUCAAAUGAAUUGGCGGGGACCCGCACAAGCGGUGGAGCAUGUGGUUUAAUUCGAUGCAACGCGAAAAACCUUACCUACUCUUGACAUACUUGGGAGCUCUUGUAAUGAGAGUGUGCCUUUUGGAACCAAGAUACAGGUGCUGCAUGGCUGUCGUCAGCUCGUGUCGUGAGAUGUUCCGUUAAGUCGGAUAACGAGCGCAACCCUUACCCUUAUUUGCCAGCGAUUCGGUCGGGAACUAUAAGGGGACUGCCGGUGAUAAACCGGAGGAAGGUGAGGACGACGUCAAGUCAUCAUGGCCCUUACGAGUAGGGCUACACACGUGCUACAAUGGGAAAUACAGACGGACGCUAAGCCGCGAGGUGGUGCUAAUCCUAGAAAGUUUCUCGUAGUCCGGAUUGGAGUCUGCAACUCGACUCCAUGAAGUCGGAAUCGCUAGUAAUCGCGGAUCAGCAUGCCGCGGUGAAUACGUUCUCGGGUCUUGUACACACCGCCCGUCACACCAUGGAAGUGGAUUGCACCAGAAGUAGAUAGUCUAACCUUAGGGAGGGCGUUUACCACGGUGUGCUUCAUGACUGGGGUG